AAGUACUGGUUCACACAGUUCGUUCCUUGGGUGCUCACUCGCUUUCUCUUUCUCCACAGGUAGCGGCGUAAGUACAGUUUUCCUCGGUCUCUCCUCGUGUUACCCACUCUCUCUCCUUUUCUCUCCACAGGUAUCAACUUAGGCACAAUAGCACAGUUAGUUUGCUUUGAAUGGCUCUCACCUCUGGGCUGGACACAGCGUACUGUAAGUACAGGUUCCCUCUGGUUCUCCUUGUGUUACUCACUCUCUCUUUCCUUUCCUCUCCACAGGUAUCAACUUAGGCACAAUAGCACAGUUAGUUUGCUUUGAAUGGCUCUCACCUCUGGGCUGGACACAGCGUACUGUAAGUACAGGUUUCCUCUGUUUCUCCUUGUGUUACUCACUCUCUCUUUCCUUUUCUCUCCACAGGUAUCAACUUGGGCACAAUAGCACAGUUAGUUUGCUUUGAAUGGCUCUCACCUCUGGGCUGGACACAGCGUACUGUAAGUACAGGUUCCCUCUGGUUCUCCUUGUGUUACUCACUCUCUCUUUCCUUUCCUCUCCACAGGUAUCAACUUGGACACAAAGCACAGUUACUCUGCUUUGGAUGGCUUUCACCUCUGGGCUGGACACAGCGUACCAUGCUAUCUCCGGAGAUCUGAAGCACGCUCACAACAUAUACUGUACUGAACUAGGCUAGGACCAGCAGUCUCCUUGUCCUCCCGCGACGAAGUGCGUGAAGGCGGGGGUUUAUCUGACAGGACACACGGCAAUACACAGCAGCCCACAGCAAUAUACAACACCACGUCAAAAUUAUAGGUUUUCACAGCACGAAGACUCACCCACCACACUCAGUGUACGAAAAGGACACCCGUCUUCCUUCACUUCGCUUGG
ensembl:lncRNA